rnacentral:sRNA from 1 species
UGGAUGCUGCCUUAUUACUGGAACGAG